rnacentral:rRNA from 1 species
AGCAGCCGCGGUAAUUCCAGCUCCAAUAGCGUAUAUUAAAGUUGUUGCAGUUAAAAAGCUCGUAGUUGAAUUUCGGGGUUCAUCCGUUGGUCGGGCUUUUUGGUCUGUACUGGCGUGAUGGAUUCCUACCUUCUGAAUAACCGGCAUGUCAUUAAUUUGGUGCGCCGGGGAAGCAGGACUGUUACCUUGAAAAAAUUAGAGUGCUUAAAGCAGGCUAUCGCCUGAAUACAUUAGCAUGGAAUAAUGAAAUAGGACGGCAUGGUUCUAUUUUGUUGGUUUCUAGGAUCACCGUAAUGAUUAAUAGGGAUAGUUGGGGGCAUUAGUAUUCAAUUGUCAGAGGUGAAAUUCUUGGAUUUAUUGAAGACUAACUUCUGCGAAAGCAUUUGCCAAGGAUGUUUUCAUUAAUCAAGAACGAAAGUUAGGGGAUCGAAGACGAUCAGAUACCGUCGUAGUCUUAACCAUAAACUAUGCCGACUAGGGAUCGGACGAUGUUAAUUUUUUAAUGACUCGUUUGGCACCU